AGUGAACGCUGGCGGUAGGCCUAACGCAUGCAAGUCGAACGGCAGCACAGUAAGAGCUAGCUCUUACGGGUGGCGAGUGGCGGACGGGUGAGGAAUACAUCGGAAUCUACUUUUUCGUGGGGGAUAACGUAGGGAAACUUACGCUAAUACCGCAUACGACCUACGGGUGAAAGCAGGGGAUCUUCGGACCUUGCGCGAUUGAAUGAGCCGAUGUCGGAUUAGCUAGUUGGCGGGGUAAAGGCCCACCAAGGCGACGAUCCGUAGCUGGUCUGAGAGGAUGAUCAGCCACACUGGAACUGAGACACGGUCCAGACUCCUACGGGAGGCAGCAGUGGGGAAUAUUGGACAAUGGGCGCAAGCCUGAUCCAGCCAUACCGCGUGGGUGAAGAAGGCCUUCGGGUUGUAAAGCCCUUUUGUUGGGAAAGAAAAGCAGCAGGUUAAUACCCCGCUGUUCUGACGGUACCCAAAGAAUAAGCACCGGCUAACUUCGUG
rnacentral:rRNA from 1 species